UUUAUCCAGGUAUUUUUACUGAACACUAAUCGCAUGAAUGGAGAUUUUUUUGAUUACGUCAUACGACAUUCGCCGCGAACCAUUUUUGAAACGAUCUUAUUAAUCUGACAUCAUAAUAAGCGAUUAAUCAAGUGGCAUUAACAAAGCACUGACCAAUGACCAACCCAGACACCUGAGCCCCGGACCCAAAGACCACGAUCAGCAGCUGCUCCACCCGCAUAAACUCACUUCAGGUUGACUCAACCCGAUCUUUGAGCCAGCCAGGAGCUCAUACAAAUUGAAAUUUCAUUGUUGGCGUAAUCGCCAGCGAUUUGUAAUCGCGAAAUUCAGUGAAUGUGCUCACGUUUAUGUCACAGAAUCACAUGAAUAAUAAUCUAGACAGAAUUUAGAGUUUGGAAAAUGCCCAGCAGACAUCCUUGUAUUGCUGCUGGCGGAAGAGAUGUCAGCUUUCACGUCGAGGUGUUCGGCGCAAUCAGAACGCAUCCCUAGAUGACAUAAAUAGCCUCCGAUUUGAACAGCUGCCAAUUUGGACUCACGGAUGCGAUUUUGAAUAUUGCAUUUCCAUGGCCGAAUCAGCGACAUCGAGAGGAGGCAUAUUCCCACAAAUUUUUGCCAACUUUGAGUUCCUAUUUGGUUUUCGGUCUGCUGAAGUUAAUUAAAAUGGUUCCUACUUGGCGCUCAAAUAGAAUUUCAUUAUGAAUCCUACCUAGUCCACUGAGUGUAGAUAUAUAGAUCUUAAGGAGCACAUACUUAUGCCGUGAGUCUCAUAUUUGAUGGGGUGUGAUAAUGAGUUGAAUGGCUUAUUACAAAGAUAUUUUCGAGGGACAGUUUUGUAAUUUCUGUCAAAUUAUCAAUACUGCUUGUGCGAUGACAUAAUUUGCGGG
ensembl:ncRNA lncRNA:CR44932 long non-coding RNA:CR44932